rnacentral:rRNA from 1 species
UACGUAGGGACCAAGCGUUGUUCGGAUUUACUGGGCGUAAAGGGCGCGUAGGCGGCAAUUCAAGUCAUCUGUGAAAUCUCCGGGACUUAACCCGGAACGGUCAGAUGAUACUGCUUUGCUAGAGUGCGGAAGGGGCAAUCGGAAUUCUUGGUGUAGCGGUGAAAUGCGUAGAUAUCAAGAGGAACACCUGAGGUGAAGACGGGUUGCUGGGCCGACACUGACGCUGAUAGCGCGAAAGCCAGGGGAGCAAACGGG